rnacentral:lncRNA from 1 species
UUCGUUAGGGCAUUACAUAUGACUAACAAAGUUUUGAUUUCAGGGGAAGCUUACCUUUGCAGCAAGGUGCUUACAGGUGGGAGUGUCGAGAGGAGAAUCGAGAAGGAUCAUGAGUGCUAGCUGCCGAUGAAGACCAAGAACGCGAAUGAGUAAUCAGAGGAACCAAGGAACUGAAAUAAGCGCUACAGAAGAUAACUAUUUGGUCAUAAUUGCCCUUCAGCUUCCAUAUGUGCAAUCUCUCUCUCUCUCCAAUGUCCAACUCCACAACCACCUUUAAACCAGAUGAAUUUGCCAGCAAAUAAAAUCUUGAAGAUCCCAAAGGAAGCAAUAUAGCAUAAACCAAGAAACCAACGGAUUUCGACUUGAAGAACAAUCAAGUGGAAACCAAGAUUUACUCUUGAAAAUAGGAUAAAGCAAAUGAUUGGGAAAACAAAAAUCAUUAAAACUAUCAAGACUAAUCUAUAUAAAAAUCAUUUACUUCAAACACAUAGUUGCUUGUUUCCACAAUGUAACCUAAUCUUAUAGGUCAUCCCAAAGGUGUUCAUGUUUUACUUUCACGAGCUGGAAGACAUUUGACUACCAAGAGAACUUAUGAUUAAUGAUUUACUUGACCGAAAAUAUGAACUUGAAACUUAGAUCGAAACGAUUGAAGCUUUAAUCUGUUUCUUAGCAAGAAAAUGAGUCAGCCACCCUACUAAUCGAUCCCUUACCUUGAAACGAAUCUAACCUAGAGGCGACUUGUUAGCCUGAGGGAGUCACCUACGUUCUGCCGUCGUGGAUCACCAGAAUCAGAGUCGGGAAGAUUGAUGUAUUCGCUCUUUUAAAGAUCGAAACUCGAUCUUU